GCUCAUAUAGCUCAGUCGGUAGAGCGCGUCCUUGGUAAGGACGAGGUCACCGGUUCAAUUCCGGUUAUGAGCU
rnacentral:tRNA from 1 species